rnacentral:rRNA from 1 species
GNGUAACGCUAGCGGGNAGCCUAACACAUGCAAGCCGAGCGGUAUGGAUAGCUUGCUAUCCAGAGAGCGGCGUACGGGUGCGUAACACGUGUGCAACCUGCCUUUAUCUGGGGGAUAGCCUUUCGAAAGGAAGAUUAAUACCCCAUAAUAUGGUGUCCGGCAUCGGACGCUAUUGAAAGCCUCGGCGGAUAGAGAUGGGCACGCGCAAGAUUAGAUAGUUGGUGGGGUAACGGCCCACCAAGUCGAUGAUCUUUAGGGGUCCUGAGAGGGAGAUCCCCCACACUGGUACUGAGACCCGGACCAGACUCCUACGGGAGGCAGCAGUGAGGAAUAUUGGACAAUGGGUGGAAGCCUGAUCCAGCCAUCCCGCGUGAAGGAUGACGGUCCUAUGGAUUGUAAACUUCUUUUGUACAGGGAUAAACCUGCCCUCGUGAGGGUAGCUGAAGGUACUGUACGAAUAAGCACCGGCUAACUUCGUGCCAGCAGCCGCGGUAAUACGUAGGGUGCGAGCGUUAAUCGGAAUUACUGGGCGUAAAGCGUGCGCAGGCGGUUUCGUAAGACAGACGUGAAAUCCCCGGGCUCAACCUGGGAACUGCGUUUGUGACUGCGAGGCUAGAGUACGGCAGAGGGGGGUAGAAUUCCACGUGUAGCAGUGAAAUGCGUAGAGAUGUGGAGGAAUACCGAUGGCGAAGGCAGCCCCCUGGGUUAGUACUGACGCUCAUGCACGAAAGCGUGGGGAGCAAACAGGAUUAGAUACCCUGGUAGUCCACGCCCUAAACGAUGUCAACUAGGUGUUGGAAGGGUUAAACCUUUUAGUACCGCAGCUAACGCGUGAAGUUGACCGCCUGGGGAGUACGGCCGCAAGGUUAAAACUCAAAGGAAUUGACGGGGACCCGCACAAGCGGUGGAUGAUGUGGAUUAAUUCGAUGCAACGCGAAAAACCUUACCUACCCUUGACAUGCCAGGAACUUUCCAGAGAUGGAUUGGUGCCCGAAAGGGAGCCUGGACACAGGUGCUGCAUGGCUGUCGUCAGCUCGUGUCGUGAGAUGUUGGGUUAAGUCCCGCAACGAGCGCAACCCUUGUCAUUAAUUGCCAUCAUUUAGUUGGGCACUUUAAUGAGACUGCCGGUGACAAACCGGAGGAAGGUGGGGAUGACGUCAAGUCCUCAUGGCCCUUAUGGGUAGGGCUUCACACGUCAUACAAUGGUCGGUACAGAGGGUUGCCAAGCCGCGAGGUGGAGCCAAUCCCAGAAAGCCGAUCGUAGUCCGGAUCGCAGUCUGCAACUCGACUGCGUGAAGUCGGAAUCGCUAGUAAUUCGCGGAUUCAGCAUGUUCGCGGUNAANACGUAACCC